UUGAAAAGUUCAAACCCUACGUAGCUGAGGCUUUUGUAAAAGCUUCGGAAUCUGAAAACAUACUUGUAGUUCGUUCAAUCAAAGAGACUUCGUUGUACAGGAAAACAGCAUAAUACAUGCUAUCAAGGCAUCAAUGGCAUACAUUUCAGGCAUUCUCUACAAAGCCAGGAUCGAAAGAAUUGCAACAAUAACAAACGAAGAGAUGGGGUAGAUAAUGAACAAAGAAUUACAUCAGGGGAUCGCAGGAUUUAGUUAUGUCUCACGUUUGCGCUGCGGAUGGU